AUACGGAGGGUGCAAGCGUUACUCGGAAUCACUGGGCGUAAAGCGCGCGCAGGCGGGCUGAUAAGUUGGAUGUGAAAGCCUACGGCUCAACCGUAGAACUGCAUCCAAAACUGUCAGUCUUGAGUGUGGGAGAGGAAGAUGGAAUUAGUUGUGUAGGGGUAAAAUCCGUAGAGAUAACUAGGAAUACCAAAAGCGAAGGCAAUCUUCUGGAACACUACUGACGCUGAGGCGCGAAGGCGUGGGGAGCAAACAGGAUUAGAAACCCCGGUAGUCC
rnacentral:rRNA from 1 species